rnacentral:rRNA from 1 species
UACGUAGGGGGCAAGCGUUAUCCGGAAUUACUGGGCGUAAAGCGCACGCAGGCGGUCUGCCAAGUUCGGGGUGACAGUUUCCGGCUCAACCGGGAAAGGACUUUGAAAACUGGUAGACUUGAGAGCGAGAGAGGAACAUGGAACUCCAGGUGUAGUAGUGAAAUGCGUAGAUAUCUGGAAGAACACCAAAGGCGUAGGCAAUGUUCUGGCUCGUUUCUGACGCUCAGGUGCGAAAGCCAGGGGAGCGAACGGG